rnacentral:lncRNA from 1 species
AAUAGAAAAUGGGAAUAUUGCUCCCACACACAGUAAGGUAUAUUCUGACCUGUGGCUCAGGUGUACCACAUUCUCUUGUCAGUCUCCAAGCAGAGACCAGCAAGGAGUUCGUUGGUUGGUCCCCAGGGCCUCUGGUUGCACAUUCCCGGCAGGCUUUCAGGAGACUAGCAGGUUUCCUGAAACUGGGAAGCCACCUUUGUAGUGCAGUGGCCUUUUGAAGCCCUGUGGCAAUUUUCUCUUUAACUGAGCACCUGCGAAUGUGUGCACGAGAGAAGAGUCACACCUAUUUCAAGUCUGUCCGAGUCACAGCUUCUAGAUGGGAAAGAGGGAAGAGACAGGAGCUUCGUGGCUCCGAAGCCAGAGCAUCAGUUUGUCCUUCCUCCUACACCUAGUCUUAGUUUUGGUGGUUGGUUAGUUGGUUGUAAACUACUUGAGACAGGGUUUCUCCGUGUAGCCCUGCCUGUCCUGAAACUCACUCUAUAGACCAUGCUGGCCUCAAGCCCAGAGAUCUGCCUGCCUUUUACUCCCAAGUGCUGGGAUUAAGGGCGUGCACCACCCCUGGCCAGUCUUUGUGUUUUUGAUCUCAUUAAUUUUCAGUGGUCUGUCUUCUUUGCAAAGACCUGGGGACAAUUAGCUUUGCUACUUCCUACCGAGUCACCACUCUCGAACCUUUGUUUUCUCCAUUUGUUAGAGUGAAUAAGAAAAGCCUCCACAUCCUUUUCCCAAUUGGAAAAUAUUCCUCUUAGCUGAUUAUCAGGAGCAAACAUUCCCCGGUAUGGUGGUACAUACCUAUAAUCCCAGCUGAGAUGGGAGGGCUGCAAGUUCUAGGCCAGCCUGGGGUAGGCCUUGUAUCUAAGUGAAGGAAGCUGGGAAGCACACUUUCACAGAGAAUGUUUGAACCUGGGGGAGUUGGGGGGUGCAGCUAGCCCUUUUAUUGUGCUUAAUUGAUCCAAACACAUCUGUACUACUAGGAUUUUCUCAUUUAUACAAUGAAUUGUACUGUUUAUAAGCAAUGGGCCAAACUACCUUCAAGGCACUUCGAAGACAGUGGCCACUUUCUUCACUGGGUCCAACAAGCUCUUUCCAGAGAGCGUAGCCUGACUGGGCACUUCCAUUGCCAGGAUCUCAUUGGUCCACAGCUGUGUCUGUUGAGUCUGGUCUAGGCUUUAUUAUAACCCUAGCCAUGGUUAGUCAAGCUUUUAGCCAGGACUUAGGGUUGUCUGAGUACUUGCGACUAUUUCUUUGAUAAAAUGGUCACAUUAUCAACUGUCUGAAAUGCUCUCCAGAAUGUGUUUUCUUUUUAAGUGUAUUUUUGUAUUUAUGCAAGGUUUAUUUAACCUUGCUUGGCAAGAGGAACUUUUGUAUUUUUAAUAGAGCACUCAUUAUGCUAAUUAAAGAAAACAAGGAGUAGGUAAUAU